UACGUAGGGUGCAAGCGUUAAUCGGAAUUACUGGGCGUAAAGCGCGUGUAGGUGGUAGGCCAAGUCUGCUGUGAAAUCGCCCGGCUCAACUGGGCGCGGUCGGUGGAAACUGGUCAACUGGAGGACGGUAGAGGCGAGUGGAAUUCCCGGUGUAGUGGUGAAAUGCGUAGAGAUCGGGAGGAACACCAGUGGCGAAGGCGGCUCGCUGGGCCGGUCCUGACGCUGAGGAGCGAAAGCGUGGGGAGCGAACAGG
rnacentral:rRNA from 1 species